AAAUAAGAAACGAUAUUUUGUAUUCAGUUUCGACCUGACAUCUAGGCCCUAUGCCCUUAUUUA
rnacentral:tRNA from 1 species